rnacentral:tRNA from 2 species
UGGGGUUUAGCUCAAUGACAGAGUGCUUGCCUAGCAUGCAAGAGACCCGAGUUCAAUUUCCAGUACCACAA